UCAUUGGAUCUGUACCCACACUUACUUGGAUAACUGUGGUAAUUCUAGAGCUAAUACAUGCACCACGUCUCUGACCGCAAGGGAAGAGCGCUUUUAUUAGUUCAAAACCGGUCGGGCCUCGGUCCGUCACCCCACCGUGUUGAAUCUGAAUAACUUGUCGCUGAGCGCACGGUCUCCGCACCGGCGCCGCUUCUUUCAAGUGUCUGCCUUAUCAGCUUUCGAUUGUAGGUUAUGCGCCUACAAUGGCUAUAACGGGUAACGGGGAAUCAGGGUUCGAUUCCGGAGAGGGAGCCUGAGAAACGGCUACCACAUCUAAGGAAGGCAGCAGGCACGCAAAUUACCCACUCCCGGCACGGGGAGGUAGUGACGAAAAAUAACGAUGCGAGACUCAUCCGAGGCCUCGCAAUCGGAAUGAGUACACUUUAAAUCCUUUAACGAGGAUCUAUUAGAGGGCAAGUCUGGUGCCAGCAGCCGCGGUAAUUCCAGCUCUAAUAGCGUAUACUAAAAUUGUUGCGGUUAAAAAGCUCGUAGUUGGAUUUCAGUUCUGGACUGACGGUUCACCGCCCGGUGAUCACUGUCACGCUCCGAACAUUUUAACUACCCGCUGGCUCGCACGGGGUGCUCUUUACCGAGUGUCCCGCGUGGCCGGCAGAGUUUACUUUGAAAAAAUUAGAGUGCUCAAAGCAGGCUACACUGACGGCCUGAAUGCCUAUGCAUGGAAUAAUGGAAUAGGACCUCGGUUCUAUUUUGUCGGUUUUCUGAACCCGAGGUAAUGACUAAUAGGAACAGGCGGGGGCAUUCGUAUUGCGACGCUAGAGGUGAAAUUCUUGGACCGUCGCAAGACGAACUACUGCGAAAGCAUUUGCCAAGGAUGUUUUCAUUAAUCAAGAACGAAAGUUAGAGGUUCGAAGGCGAUCAGAUACCGCCCUAGUUCUAACCAUAAACGAUGCUGACCAGCGAUCCGCCGGCGUUAUUCCCAUGACCCGGCGGGCAGCUUCCGGGAAACCAAAGUCUUUGGGUUCCGGGGGAAGUAUGGUUGCAAAGCUGAAACUUAAAGGAAUUGACGGAAGGGCACCACCAGGAGUGGAGCCUGCGGCUUAAUUUGACUCAACACG
rnacentral:rRNA from 1 species